AUGAGGAGGAUCAUCCAAUCAUUCUUGAGUAAUGUUAAACACUUGAGUACCUUGAAUCAAUUUGUCUUUGAAAAAAUGGGAAGGAUGAUUUUGAGUACAACAACAUCCGGUUACACUACUUUUCCAUUUCCUCGACUUUUCACUACUAUCCCUAUUAUUUCAGAUUUCAUGUCCCUCUCUUCAUCUUCGCCUCCCUCUCUCGUCGUCUCCAAACCCUAUCCCACUACAACCCCUUAA